rnacentral:rRNA from 1 species
UACGUAGGGACCGAGCGUUGUCCGGAUUCAUUGGGCGUAAAGAGCUCGUAGGCGGCCACUCAAGUCGAAUGUGAAACCUCGAGGCUUAACCUCGAGCCUGCAUUUGAUACUGGGCGGCUAGAGUCUGGUAGGGGGAUCUGGAAUUCCUGGUGUAGCGGUGGAAUGCGCAGAUAUCGGGAAGAACACCCGUGGCGAAGGCGGUUCUCUGGGACGGUACUGGACGCUGAGGAGCGAAAGCGUGGGGAGGC